CGGCUCCGCGGCUCCGCCGGGAAGAGCGCCCUCCCCGCGCCGACACUCAGGUACCCCCAAGAUUCAACCUGCCAGUCAUGGUCAUACCCUGACGACCUUCUGCUAAACCUUCCAGACAUUGAAUGACUUCCUGGACCUUCACCUCUCCAGAACUCCUCUGAUACUCUGCUUGGAGGAAAUCCUGUGGAAGACUCCAAGACCUUAGGAAAUGGUGGAGCUACCUGACAGGAGUCUAUGUCCCUGAUAAACUAUAAAGAACAGAGUCUGCCACUUCCUAGGUUAGAUGCGAG